rnacentral:rRNA from 1 species
CGAAGGACCAAGCGUUAUCCGGAGUUUAUUGGGUUAAAGGGUGCGUAGGCGGGUUGUUAAGUCAGUGGUGAAAGCUCCGAGCCUAACUCGGAAACUGCCAUUGAUACUGAUGAUCUUGAGUACAUUUGAGGUGGGCGGAAUGUGUCAUGUAGCGGUGAAAUGCUUAGAGAUGACACAGAACACCGAUUGCGAAGGCAGCUCACUAAACUGUAACUGACGCUGAGGCACGAAAGCGUGGGGAGCAAACAGGAUUAGAUACCCUGGUAGUCCACGCCCUAAACGAUGAUCACUCGAUGUGUGCGAUACACUGUACGCGUCCGAGCGAAAGCAUUAAGUGAUCCACCUGGGGAGUACGGCCGCAAGGCUG